rnacentral:lncRNA from 1 species
AUGGAGAAAAACCAGACAAAUGGAAAACUUAUUUUGAGCAUCACUGAACUCCAAAUGAAACUCAAAAAAAUUGAAAAACAAAAGGAAACAGAGGAUAAUACAAGUGCUGCAACAAUAUCCAAGCUGACGAACCAGCUGAAGUUCCAAGAAGAGGAAAACAAUCGUAAUAAAGCUUUCAUUAUGACUCUGCAGAACAAGAUAACCCAGACAGAAACCCAAUGUUCUAAAUAUGAACAGAAAAUUAAAGAUCUGCAGAGUGACAUAAAUACCAAACUUAAGGAACUUAAAAGCAAAUCGGACACCAUUAGUUCACUUGUUCUUCAAAUUUCUACAUUAAAUGUGGAAGUGGAACAGCUGGGAAAGCAACUUCAGAACUCUGUGUCCAAAUCUAAAGUGGAAGAGCUAACGGCUAUAAUAGAGGAAAAGAACAAAGAACUGGAGCAAAAAGCUGGAGAACUUAAAGAGAGGAGUCCUGAUGCACAAAAACUCCUCAGGAUCAUUGCUGUGCAAGUGGAGAUAGAAAGAUUGGUGAAUUUAGGAACAAAUAACAUCAAUUCUAAUCACCUAAAAGGUAAAAAAACAAAAAAAAACAUUAAUUUAAAACAUUUAUUUAAAAACAAAAGGUAA